rnacentral:rRNA from 1 species
AGUUUGAUCCUGGCUCAGGACGAACGCUGGCGGCGUGCCUAAUACAUGCAAGUCGAGCGAAYCAAUAGGAGCUUGCUCCUGUUGGUUAGCGGCGGACGGGUGAGUAACACGUGGGCAACCUGCCUGUAAGACUGGGAUAACACCGGGAAACCGGUGCUAAUACCGGAUAAUCCUUUUCCUCUCAUGAGGAAAAGCUGAAAGUCGGUUUCGGCUGACACUUACAGAUGGGCCCGCGGCGCAUUAGCUAGUUGGUGAGGUAACGGCUCACCAAGGCGACGAUGCGUAGCCGACCUGAGAGGGUGAUCGGCCACACUGGGACUGAGACACGGCCCAGACUCCUACGGGAGGCAGCAGUAGGGAAUCUUCCACAAUGGACGAAAGUCUGAUGGAGCAACGCCGCGUGAGCGAUGAAGGCCUUCGGGUCGUAAA